rnacentral:rRNA from 1 species
CACGUAGUUAGCCGGGGCUUCUUAGUCAGGUAUCGUCAUUUUCUUUCCUGCUGAUAGAGCUUUACAUACCGAAAUACUUCUUCACUCACGCGGCGUCGCUGCAUCAGGGUUUCCCCCAUUGUGCAAUAUUCCCCACUGCUGCCUCCCGUAGGAGUUUGGGCCGUGUCUCAGUCCCAAUGUGGCCGUUCACCCUCUCAGGCCGGCUACUGAUCGUCGCCUUGGUGGGCCUCUACCCCGCCAACAAGCUAAUCAGACGCGGGUCCAUCGUAUACCACCGGAGUUUUUCACACCAGGCCAUGCGAUCCUGUGCGCUUAUGCGGUUUUAGCACCUAUUUCUAAGUGUUAUCCCCCUGUAUACGGCAGGUUACCCACGCGUUACUCACCCGUCCGCCACUAACAGAUAAAUCACUAGGUUCAUUACCUGUCCGUUCGACUUGCAUGUGUUAAGCACGCCGCCAGCGUUCAUCCUGAGCCAGGAUCAAACUCU